AUACCAUAGUGGAAAAAAAAAAACUGCCUCUUAUUCCAUCACCGAAGUUAAGCAAUGUUGGGCCUGGUCAAUAUUUGGGAGGGUGACCACGUCGUGUGUGGUAACAUUGAGUGUCGUACUGU